AGGUUGAGACAGCAGAAAAGAGGAAAUUUAUUUGAGAUUAGGAUGGAGAUUAAGAGGUAUGGAAUAGGUAUAUAAGGAAGCAGAGCUGAGUGAAAGAGAGCAUCUGAAGCAAGGAGAAGCAAGAAUAGAGGAAAAAGACGACAUUUACAUACACCAAGCUGAAGAGAAGUGAAGAUCCCAUGAUGAAGGUCCUACCCAUUCUGGCCGUGAUGCUACUCGGGACGUCUGCCAUGGUGCUCAAUGAUCUAAACUCCACCGCCUCACCGCUACCUCUGGACUGAUGGGUCAUGCAUGGACUACUUUUCCUGGCUUCAGAAGCCCAAGCAACCAUCCGGUGAUGGACAGUGCAUGGAAAUAAUCUGGCAGAGGAAGCAAGAGAAGGCAGGGAUAAUGUGAGGGAGAGAGAGGGGGUGAUGGAUGAAAGGGAGGG